GAAAUGCGAUAAGUAAUGUGAAUUGCAGAAUUCAGUGAAUCAUCGAAUCUUUGAACGCAUCUUGCGCUCCUUGGUAUUCCGAGGAGCAUGCCUGUUUGAGUGUCAUUAAAUUCUCAACUCUCUUAUACUUUGUUGUAAAAGAGAGCUUGGACUGUGGAGGUUUGCUGGCCGCUUGUUGAGGUCAGCUCCUCUGAAAUGCAUUAGCAGAACCGUUUGCGAUCUGCCACAAGUGUGAUAACUUAUCUACACUGGCAAGGGGGAUUGCUCUCUGUGUUCAGCUUCUAAUCGUCUCAGGUUGAUGAGACAACUUCUUGAAUGCUUGACCUCAAAUCAGGUAGGACUACCCGCUGAACUUAA
rnacentral:rRNA from 1 species